rnacentral:rRNA from 1 species
UACGAAGGGGCUAGCGUUGCUCGGAAUCACUGGGCGUAAAGCGCACGUAGGCGGCUUUCUAAGUCAGGGUGAAUCCUGGAGCUCAACUCCAGAACUGCCUUGAUACUGGAGAGCUUGAGUCCGGAAGAGGUGAGUGGAACUCCGAGUGUAGAGGUGAAAUUCGUAGAUAUUCGGAAGAACACCAGUGGCGAAGGCGGCUCACUGGUCCGGUACUGACGCUGAUGUGCGAAAGCGUGGGAGCAACAGG